rnacentral:misc_RNA from 1 species
GAAAUGCGAUAAGCAAUGCGAAUUGCAGAAUUCCGCGAGUCAUCAGAUCUUUGAACGCAUGUGGCGCUGGUUAUCCAGCAUGUUUGUUUCAGUGUGUUCGGAAAUCACACAACUCAGUGCGAUUGAGAUUAUCAUUUACUUGAUAGUUUCUCUCGUUAAACACGGCGAGCGCUCCGAGCAACGCGCACACCCCCAAACGAAGUAGUCACUUUUUACUAAGUGAUCUCGUUAGGGAUCAAAGCUGCCGGGCUCAACUUAAAAGAAGCGCCGCGAUUAAAAAUAUAUCACUUCUCCAGUGACACCUGAAAUCAAGCAAGGUUACCCGCUGAACUUAA